GGAGGAUUGUCCGAGUGGCUUAAGGGGCUCGCUUGGAAAGCGAGUAUACGGAUUACCGUAUCGAGGGUUCGAAUCCCUUGUCCUCCG
rfam:Dolosigranulum pigrum ATCC 51524 genomic scaffold supercont1.1, whole genome shotgun sequence.